CAAAUAUCAGAACUUGUCUACUGCUGCCUCUAACAUGGUACGUGUAGAAUAUAAUCACAGUGCAGGAGAAAGUGCCACACCCAAGUUUAAAGCUGAAUCUCUGAAACCUGUGAACAAGCUCCAUCAGCAGAAUCAAGAUCCUUAUAAAGGCACAAAA